rnacentral:rRNA from 1 species
UACGUAGGUGGCAAGCGUUGUCCGGAAUUACUGGGUGUAAAGGGAGCGCAGGCGGGAAGCCAAGUCAGCUGUGAAAACUACGGGCUUAACUUGUAGACUGCAGUUGAAACUGGUUUUCUUGAGUGAGGUAGAGGUUGGCGGAAUUCCGAGUGUAGCGGUGAAAUGCGUAGAUAUUCGGAGGAACACCGGUGGCGAAGGCGGCCAACUGGGCUUUAACUGACGCUGAGGCUCGAAAGCGUGGGGAGCAAACAGG